rnacentral:tRNA from 1 species
GCGGCCGUAGCUCAACUGGAUAGAGCACUUGACUACGAAUCAAGAGGUUGCAGGUUCGAGUCCUGCCGGCCGCGCCA